rnacentral:rRNA from 1 species
AUUGAACGCUGGCGGCAUGCCUUACACAUGCAAGUCGAACGGCAGCACGGGUGCUUGCACCUGGUGGCGAGUGGCGAACGGGUGAGUAAUACAUCGGUACCUGUCCCGUAGUGGGGGAUAGCCCGGCGAAAGCCGGAUUAAUACCGCAUACGAUCUACGGAUGAAAGCGGGGGACCUUCGGGCCUCGCGCUAUAGGGUUGGCCGAUGGCUGAUUAGCUAGUUGGGGGGGUAAAGGCCUACCAAGGCGACGAGCAGUAGCUGGUCUGAGAGGACGACCGGCCACACUGGGACUGGAACACGGCCCAGACUCCUACGGGAGGCAGCAGUGGGGAAUUUUGGACAAUGGGCGAAAGCCUGAUCCAGCAAUGCCGCGUGUGUGAAGAAGGCCUUCGGGUUGUAAAGCACUUUUGUCCGGAAAGAAAUCCUUGGCCCUAAUACGGUCGGGGGAUGACGGUACCGGAAGAAUAAGCACCGGCUAACUACGUG